rnacentral:rRNA from 1 species
UCCUACGGGACGCAGCAGUGGGGAAUAUUGCGCAAUGGGGGAAACCCUGACGCAGCAACGCCGCGUGAAUGAUGAAGGCCUUCGGGUUGUAAAGUUCUGUCUUCUGGGACGAUAAUGACGGUACCAGAGGAGGAAGCCACGGCUAACUACGUGCCAGCAGCCGCGGUAAUACGUAGGUGGCAAGCGUUGUCCGGAUUUACUGGGCGUAAAGGAUGCGUAGGCGGACAUUUAAGUCAGAUGUGAAAUACCCGAGCUUAACUUGGGUGCUGCAUUUGAAACUGGGUGUCUAGAGUGCAGGAGAGGUAAGUGGAAUUCCUAGUGUAGCGGUGAAAUGCGUAGAGAUUAGGAAGAACACCAGUGGCGAAGGCGACUUACUGGACUGUAACUGACGCUGAGGCAUGAAAGCGUGGGGAGCAAACAGGAUUAGAUACCCGUGUAGUCCG